rnacentral:rRNA from 1 species
CUCAUGGUUUCACGGUAUUGCAAUGAGAACAAUUUAAAACCCUUAGCGAGAAUCAAGUGGAGGACAAGUCUGGUGCCAGCACCCGCGGUAAUUCCAGCUCCACUAGCGUAUAUUAAAGUUGUUGCAGUUAAAAAGCUCGUAGUUGAACCUCUGUCUGGGGCUAGUUUUGGCUUUGGUCAGGCUAGUUCUAGGCAUCCGCCUACAAGACUUAGAGGGCAUUCAGUUGUUCACUAGGAGGAGUAGGCAUUUUACUUUGAAAAAAUUAGAGUGUUUAAGGCAGGCAAUCGCCCGCAUAUAUUAGCAUGGAAUAAUAGAAUAGGACACUUUUCCAUUUCGUUGGUUAUUGGAAUCGUGUAAUGAUUAAUAGGGACAGUUGUGGGCAUUUGUAUUUAAUUGUCAGAGGUGAAAUUCUUGGAUUUAUUAAAGACAAACUAACGCGAAAGCAUUUGCCAAGGAUGUUUUCAUUAAUCAAGAACGAAAGUUAGGGGAUCAAAGACGAUCAGAUACCGUCCUAGUCUUAACUAUAAACUAUUCCGACUCAAUGUUUGACUGGCUUAUAUAACCAGUUGAGCGUUGUAUGAGAAAUCAAAGUCUUUAGGUUCUGGGGGGAGUAUGGUUGCAAAGCUGAAACUUAAAGGAAUUGACGGAAGAGCACAACCAGGAGUGGAUUCUGCGGCUUAAUUUGACUCAACACGGGGAAACUUACCAGGUUAAAACAAUAGUGGGAUUGACAGUUUGAGAGCGCUUUCUUGAUUGGUUGGGUGGUGGUGCAUGGCCGUUCUUAGUUGGUGGAGUGAUUUGUCUGCUUAAUUGCGUUAACGAACGAGACCUUAACCUGCUUACUAGACUGGCGAUCAUCAAUCGUUAGCUCUUCUUAGAGGGACUUUGGUUGUUUUAACUCCAAGGAAGUUUGAGGCAAUAACAGGUCUGUGAUGCCCUUAGAUAUCCUGGGCCGCACGCGUCAUACAAUGACUAGUUCAGAAAGUUUUCUCCUGACCCGAAAGGGGAUGGGUAAUCUUGAUAAUACUAGUCGUGUUAGGGAUCGAUCUUUGCAAUUAUAGAUCUUGAACGAGGAAUUCCUAGUAAGUGCGGUUCAUCAGACCGUACUGAUUACGUCCCUGCUCUUUGUGCACACCGCCCGUCGCUUCUACCGAGUGGGUGGUCCGGUGAGAUAAUUGAACUUCGCAGGUAACUGAGAGGAAAGAUUAUCAAACCUAUCCACCU